AGGGCCUAUCCCAACCGUCGAAUACGCCUGGUAAUACUUCCUCUCUAUGCUCCUCAGUGACGACGCCUUCUUCUCCAGCUCCUUUCCUGCACUCUCCGUGCGUUUCUUCAUCUUCACCUCUUCCCCUUGCUUUAUUGAUAUGACAUGGACCACGUUUACAAAGCUCUUUAUGGCUUCUGACGCCACCGUGUCAGGCACUCGCUCCAGGCUCAGCUUCCACUCUUCACACAAGGCAAAUGACUCCGACCGCUGCUUCUUUGGGUCUUCGUUGCUCAAGGGAACGAGGCUUAGCUUGAACCAGG
rnacentral:lncRNA from 1 species